rnacentral:lncRNA from 1 species
UCGAAAGAGGGCGGUUCAAUGAAGUCUUCGGGGCAUUCUGGGGGGUCAAAAGUGGAGAUUUCUUCAGGGUCUGAGUUGUCAUAGAAAAUAGUUUCGGCAGGUGUGGAAUUGAGCUUAAUGGGGUUGAAUUUUUUUGGGUUUAAGAGGAGGUGGAAGGGUGGGUGGGUGGUUUUUGAGGUGAAGAAUGUAUGAUUGGGUUGGGAUGUAAAGUUAGAGAAACGGGAUGGGGAAGAUAGAGAGAGAGAAGAGAAAGUGGAGAGAGAAGAAGCUGCUG